rnacentral:snRNA from 1 species
GGAAAGGGUGGCGUGACAUCUGUCACUCCAUUGAUCAGCUCAUCCUCACGUCUGGCUGUCCCCCUCCUCCCUCACUGCUCCACAGGAGUCCCUCCCAAAUCUGUGUGCUCUGUGGAAGAGAACAACCUUCUCUAUGAAGGAGGGCCAGUCUUUGGUCAAGCAUAUACAGAACCUGUGCUCUCUGAUGGAACCUGCAAGCUAGCUCUCAAGAGAAAAGAGUUAUUUGGGUUCACAGUUUGAAAACUUCGUGGGUCUAUUGAUUCAAGCUUGUGACAAGGUUGCACAUCA